AUAAAAGCAGCAUGAAUGGUGUAAUUAAAUACACAAUUUAACAUGCACAAGGUCAUAUCCAAUUACAGAUUGAAUUUUGGUGAUCUCUGUCUUUUGAUUUUCAAACGCUCACCACCAGCAUUCUCUAUUUUUUUUCUGAGGCUCUGUCGCCUGAAGCAAUUAAAUACUUGCUUAAAGCAGCUUUUGCCACUUUCCAUGCUUUAGGUAAUUACAGAAGCGUCUUGCAAAAUGUGCAAAUAAAGCAAUACUUUACCUUCUCUUUUAAUUGUUG
rnacentral:misc_RNA from 1 species